ACGAACGCUGGCGGCAUGCCUAACACAUGCAAGUCGAACGAGACCUUCGGGUCUAGUGGCGCACGGGUGCGUAACGCGUGGGAACCUGCCCUUAGGUUCGGAAUAACUCCCCGAAAGGGGUGCUAAUACCGGAUAAUGUCUUCGGACCAAAGAUUUAUCGCCUUUGGAUGGGCCCGCGUUGGAUUAGCUAGUUGGUAGGGUAAAAGCCUACCAAGGCGACGAUCCAUAGCUGGUCUGAGAGGAUGAUCAGCCACACUGGGACUGAGACACGGCCCAGACUCCUACGGGAGGCAGCAGUGGGGAAUAUUGGACAAUGGGCGAAAGCCUGAUCCAGCAAUGCCGCAUGAGUGAUGAAGGCCUUAGGGUUGUAAAGCUCUUUUACCCGGGAUGAUAAUGACAGUACCGGGAGAAUAAGCUCCGGCUAACUCCGUG
rnacentral:rRNA from 1 species